rnacentral:miRNA from 1 species
GUGAAGUAUCUCUCUCUCUCUCUCUCUCUCUCUCUCUCUCUCUCUCUAUAUAUAUAUAUAUAUAUACACACAUAUAUAUCUCACACACACACACACUACGUAUAUAAAGAGAUAGAGAUAUAUAGAGAUAUACAGAGAUGAAAAGGGAGAGGAAGGAGGGAGGGAGGGAGAGAGAGAGAGAGAGAGAGAGAAUAUGAAAGAU